rnacentral:rRNA from 1 species
AAGCACCUUGAUUUGAUUCUUCGGAUGAAGAUCCUGGUGACUGAGUGGCGGACGGGUGAGUAACGCGUGGGUAACCUGCCUCAUACAGGGGGAUAACAGUUAGAAAUGACUGCUAAUACCGCAUAAGACCACAGCACCGCAUGGUGCAGGGGUAAAAACUCCGGUGGUAUGAGAUGGACCCGCGUCUGAUUAGGUAGUUGGUGGGGUAACGGCCUACCAAGCCGACGAUCAGUAGCCGACCUGAGAGGGUGACCGGCCACAUUGGGACUGAGACACGGCCCAAACUCCUACGGGAGGCAGCAGUGGGGAAUAUUGCACAAUGGGGGAAACCCUGAUGCAGCGACGCCGCGUGAGCGAUGAAGUAUUUCGGUAUGUAAAGCUCUAUCAGCAGGGAAGAAAAUGACGGUACCUGACUAAGAAGCACCGGCUAAAUACGUGCCAGCAGCCGCGGUAAUACGUAUGGUGCAAGCGUUAUCCGGAUUUACUGGGUGUAAAGGGAGCGUAGACGGAGUGGCAAGUCUGAUGUGAAAACCCGGGGCUCAACCCCGGGACUGCAUUGGAAACUGUCAAUCUGGAGUACCGGAGAGGUAAGCGGAAUUCCUAGUGUAGCGGUGAAAUGCGUAGAUAUUAGGAGGAACACCAGUGG